GACAGACUCGAAAAUAGAAAAACUACAGACUCGAACUAAGCGUAUUCUAAAGCCUCAAACUUAGGUGUCCGCGGGGCGCAUUCUGCCUCGACCCAGACCUGGGUUGCAAAUAGUGUUCAAGUUGCUAUAAUUCAGGCAAAGUUUGUUUAAUAAAGAUCACUACGACUGGGACAAAGGUAGUAUAAGUCAUAUCUUCACAUGCCCGUCAUCUUCUCAAAAUGGCAUGAGCAAUGGCUCUGAUCCUGUAUUUGGCUCGCUUAUUUUCUAUUAGUAGGCGUCUUAUCUGAUUACUUCAUGUUUUUAAGGCCUAAGAAUCUUGCAGGUGCUGAUCUUUCAAUUGUUGCACUUCCA
rnacentral:lncRNA from 1 species